GAUGAACGCUGACAGAAUGCUUAACACAUGCAAGUCUACCAAGAAUCACUUCGGUGAGGAAUGGUGGCGGACGGGUGAGUAACGCGCAAAUAAUCUGCCCUUUAGACUGGGAUAUCCUUUGGAAACGAAGGUUAAUACCGGAUAUUAUGAGAUGGACGCAUGUUCAACUUAUGAAAGCUAAAUGCACUAGAGGAGGAGUUUGCGUCCCAUUAGCUAGUUGGUGAGGUAAAGGCUCACCAAGGCCACGAUGGGUAGCCGGCCUGAGAGGGUGAACGGCCACAAGGGAACUGAGACACGGUCCUUACUCCUACGGGAGGCAGCAGUGGGGAAUAUUGGACAAUGGACCAAAGGUCUGAUCCAGCAAUUCUGUGUGCACGAUGAAGGUCUUCGGAUUGUAAAGUGCUUUCAGUAGGGAAGAAAAAAAUGACGGUACCUACAGAAGAAGCGACGGCUAAAUAUGUGCCAGCAGCCGCCGCCG
rnacentral:rRNA from 1 species